rnacentral:rRNA from 1 species
UUUAAAUGGGGACUAGUAUCAACGGCAUCACGAGGGUCCCACUGUCUCCCCCCUCCAAUCAGUGAAACUGAUCUCCCCGUGAAGAAGCGGGGAUAAGUAUAUUAGACGAGAAGACCCCAUGGAGCUUUAAACCCGACAGCACCCACUUAUUUAACACCUUCUUAUCCGCCUGGCCCCUGUCUGCUCGGUUUUGGGUUGGGGUGACCGCGGAGCAUAAAAUAGCCUCCACGAAAGAAGGGAUGAUUCCCUCAUUUUAGAACUACACUUCCAAAGACUAACAAAUUAAUUUUAAGUGAUCCGAUACCCGUAUUCGAUCAACGAACCAAGUUACCCCUGGG